rnacentral:tRNA from 1 species
GGGUCGGUAGCUCAGCGGUAGAGCAGUGCCCUUUGCUUGUCGCAAGCGCAGUGGCGUCCAGCCAUUUCAGGUGCAAAUCCUGAGAAAAGCGAUAAGGCAUUGGUCGUGGGUUCGAGUCCCACCCGACCCA